rnacentral:rRNA from 1 species
UGCCAGCAGCCGCGGUAAAACGUAGGAGGCGAGCGUUGUCCGGAUUUACUGGGCGUAAAGAGCGCGUAGGCGGCUUUGUGUGUCAGGUGUGAAAUCUCCCGGCUUAACUGGGAGGGGUCAUUUGAGACUACAGGGCUAGAGUGCAGUAGAGGGAGACAGAAUUCCCGGUGUAGUGGUGAAAUGCGUAGAUAUCGGGAGGAAUACCAGUGGCGAAGGCGGUCUCCUGGGCUGUUACUGACGCUGAGGUGCGAAAGCGUGGGGAGCGAACUGAAUUAGAUACUCAGGUAGUCCACGCUGUAAACGAUGGAUACUAGGUGUGGGGGGUAUCGACCCCCUCCGUGCCGUAGCUAACGCUAUAAGUAUCCCGCCUGGGGAGUACGGCCGCAAGGCUAAAACUCAAAGGAAUUGACGGGGGCCCGCACAAGC